GUUAUAAUUCACUGGGCCAAAGAUUUUGGGUAUAAUAUACAGCUGAGUGAUUGGGUGAAAUUAUGGAAGGAAGGUUUAAAAUUUACUGCAUGCAAUGCCCUAAAAGAAAAUGUGAUGAAAAUGAUGUAUAGAUGGUAUAUUACACCUGUUAAGUUAGCGAAAAUGUAUAAAGUUAGUAAUAAAUGUUGGAAAUGUAAAGAAAAAGAGGGAACAUUUUAUCACAUGUGGUGGGAAUGUAAAAAGGUGAAAUGCUUCUGGGAGAUGAUAUAUAAUGAGUUGAAAAAAAUGUUGAAAUAUACAUUUAUAAAGAAACCAGAAGCAUUUCUAUUGGGCAUUGU